AUGAUCGUUCUUCUUCUCCUUUGGAGAAGUGAGAGGGAGAGAACGCAGUCUGAGUGGU
rnacentral:snoRNA from 1 species